ACCACUUCGCUUACAACCCAAUUUUCAUUCUUCCGUCGUCCCCUAUCACUCUCACAUACUUUCUCUCUCCUUCCCUCAAAUUUUCGAUCUUCUUCGAUCUACUUCCCUCAAAUCUUCGGUGUUGACAAGUUUUGUUGUUGGUGUUGACAAGUUUUGUUGUAAUUAGGAUACUGUGAUGCAUUCAAGCCAGAUCCAAAUGUUGCUGAGUGAUGCUCCCUUGGAAAUAUUCAUCAAGAGCACAGGAAAGAGAAUGGAUGGGAUGCAAGUACUUGAUUCAUUAUUUUAAUUAUGAAACAAUUAACAAAAAGUAUGUGAUAUGGGGUCUAACUGCUGGGAUCUUGAUUCAAGCUGCAUCAGUUGUUCAUCAAAGACCACCACCAUUUCUGGAGCAGAAUCCCAAAUUUAAGGUUCCUACAAACCAGUUUGAUGAUUAGAAUAACAAGUCGUUGGUGUUUGGGGAUGUCUAUGGAGCUGUUUUUCUUCCUAAACAGGUGGAGCUUAAAAAAGCCCAGAAUGUGGACCUUAAAUUCCAAGUUCCUGGUGUUGGGAAAGCAUUU